rnacentral:rRNA from 1 species
AUGCAUAGCAACCUCUGUGAGAAAGAACAGAACAGAACAGAAAUGAAAGAACACAUUACCUACAGCCACUAUCCUAGAAGCACUACUAAUUUUCAUGAUUUGAUGAGUAUUUUCAUAAUGCCCCCUGUUCUGAAAUCACAAAUCAUCAAGGGUGUGUGGGUAUUCAUCAUUAUACCAUAUCCUACAGAAUCUUUUGGUAAUAAAUUUCUUCCUUCUCAUUUCCAACUACCGUCGAACCCGAAAUUUGACUCACAAAAAGAAUGCGAAAGGGAGGAAUUUACAGGACUAGUGUGUGUAGAUAAAACGAUCAAGCUAUCUGAUAACAAUUCACUCGUUGAUUAA